AUUUUAUCCACACAAGGGCUAAAUUAAUAAAAGCCUUCCAAAUCCAAACUAGAUUUGCUUUCACGCAAGAAUCACUGUUCACUAGUAACUGUAGAAGCAUAAUGAAAGACUUGGAAUUAGAUAAAUCAGCGUCCUUGAGCAGACUUAAUUGACAAAUGUACAUAAAAAAGGAAGAAAAGACCAAGGUCCAAGUUGGAACAAUUCCACCUGCACCACCGUUUACAAGAUUCCAACGUGGGCCGUUACCUAUGUUACGAUACCAACGCCAAGACACCUUCCACGACGCUUGCCAGCCGAUAGAGAUAAGCUUCUCUGUCGAUAUUUCCAUUUUCUACAGUUUACCUCUUCCCCCCCACUCCCUAAAUUUUUUAUUACCAAACAAAGCGUUAAUUAAUUUUCUAUUUUCCACUGACUUUCAAAUUUCAAAAUUCUCUCAUCCUUUUGUCCAUGCACCUUCCUUCUUAUCCUUCCACACGCCUUUCCUUCUCCCUAUAUAUAACUCCUCUCCCUCUUCCUCUCUCCGUUGUCUCUGUGGACAGCACAAACACAAUUUUCGAAAUUUUCAAAAUCCUAAACGUUCAUUUUUAUCCCUUUUUAUUUUUUGUUUGGUUUCCGUUUCAUGCAAACAUGCUUGAUCUAGAUUGGAAAGCUAAGAUGGUCUCUUCUGAUCUCCCAAACAAGUCCCCUAAACUCUCUAACAAGCUUAAUGUUAUGAUCCCUUCAACGACGCCGUUUCGUGGGGUUACCAAUAUCUCGCCGGUUUCUGCUUCCGACUCUUCUUGUACGGCUUACGAGCACUACCUUCGGUUACCUGAGUUGAGGAAAUUGUGGACUUGUAAGGAGUUUCCCGAUUGGAAAAACGAGUCCAUUUUUAAACCGGCUUUACAGGCUAUAGAGAUCACGUUUCGGCUCAUUUCUACGGUUUUAUUGGACCCGAGACCGUACGCGAACCGUAGAGAAUGGAAACGGAGGAUCGAGUCGCUUGCUACUGCGCAGAUCGAGCUUAUUGCUAUUCUGUGUGAAGACGACGAAGAUGGAGACACACGUGGCAAAGCGCCGGUUGUUGAUAUGUGCUCAUCUAAAGGCAUUUUGGGUCGGGAUGGGAGCUGCACUGAGGUAUGGAAGGUGUCACCUGAAACCACUGUGGUCAACAAGACCAGCGAGGCCAGCCUCCUCCCUCUCCUCGCCACGUGGCAGAAAUCUGAGGACAUGGCGCAGAAAAUCUUCUAUUCCAUCGAAUGCGAGAUGAGGCGGUGUCCGUACACUCUAGGUAUCGGAGAGCCGAACCUCGCCGGCAAACCUAACCUCGACUACGACGCCGUUUGCAAGCCAAGCGACGUUCACAGUCUGAAGAAGAAUCCGUACGAUCACAUAGAGAACCACGAGAACCAAACGCUGUACACCACAAACCAGAUUCUGGAGUCAUGGAUCCAAGUAGCUAAACAGCUUGUUAAACGCGUAAUUGAAAGAAUUGAAAGCAAGAAAUUCGAUAAGGCGUCAGGCGAUUGCUAUUUGCUCGAGAGAAUUUGGAAGCUUCUAUCCGAAAUAGAAGAUUUGCAUCUGUUAAUGGAUCCAGACGAUUUCUUGAAGCUCAAAAACCAGUUGCUCAUGCGAUCGCUGGACGAAUCGGAGGCGUUCUGUUUCCGAUCGAGAGCGCUGGUGGAGAUAACGAAAUCGUGCAAGGAAUUGAAGCACAAGGUUCCGGAGAUUCUAGGCGUAGAGGUGGACCCCAAGGGUGGACCCAGGAUACAGGAGGCGGCGAUGAGAUUGUACAGCGAGAAGAGGGAAUUUGAUCAGAUCAGUUUACUUCAGGGGUUGCAGGCGACGGAGGCUGCGUUGAAGAGGUUUUACUAUGGAUAUAAGCAGCUGCUGGUGGUGGUUAUCGGCAGCUUGGAGGCUAAAGGAAACCGGGUUUUGGCGAGUCCUGAAACUUGCGACUCACUGAGUCAGCUGUUCCUGGAGCCGACUUAUUUCCCGAGUUUGGAUGCAGCCAAGACGUUUUUGGGCGAGUUUUGGAGUCAUGAACAGAGUGGGUUGGAGAAACGAAAUCCAAGAAAAUAGCUGUGGGCACAGGUGGAGGAUGAGGUGGACUCGGUUGUUUUGACCGACUCAGUUGCUGUUGCUUCUUUGAAAAAAAAAUGCCCUUUGCUUGUCAGAAAUUCUAGUUUGAAAUAGACCAAUACAAUUACAUUUUUUUAAUUAAUUGUACCAAAAGUAUUGAAUAUUGUAAAAUUUUUCUAAUAUAUUUAUUUAUUUUAAUUAAUAUUUACCUAAA
rnacentral:misc_RNA from 1 species